rnacentral:rRNA from 1 species
AUUGAACGCUGGCGGCAGGCCUAACACAUGCAAGUCGAGCGGAUGAAGGGAGCUUGCUCCUGGAUUCAGCGGCGGACGGGUGAGUAAUGCCUAGGAAUCUGCCUGGUAGGGGGGGAUAACGUCCGGAGACGGGCGCUAAUACCGCAUACGUCCUGAGGGAGAAAGUGGGGGGGGUUCGGACCUCACGCUAUCAGAUGAGCCUAGGUCGGAUUAGCUAGUUGGUGGGGUAAAGGCCUACCAAGGCGACGAUUCGUAACUGGUCUGAGAGGCUGAUCAGUCACACUGGAACUGGGACACGGACCAGACUACUACGGGAGGCAGCAGUGGGGAAUAUUGGACAGUGGGCGAGAACCUGACACAGCCAUGCCGAGUCUGUGAAGGAGGUCUUCGGAUUGUAAAGCACUCUAAGUUGGGAGGAAGGGCAGUAAGUUAAUACCUUGCUGUUUUGACGUUACCAACAGAAUAAGCACCGGCUAACUUCGUG